GCCCAUGUGGAUCGACCCGAAUCGACCUGAAAUUUUGUUUUUGGGUUAUCUGAAAAUAAGAGGGAAAAGAAGAGAUAUGUAAUGAAUUUGAAACUUGGGAGGAACAGUUACUGUUCCACUUUCCCAUAUAUUUGGAACCCAUCUCUUCCUUCUGAACAAGAUAUAACAGUAACGAACCAAAACCCAAAAAAAAAACAAAAAUUGAAAGGCAUCUAGUUUGUAAAUUUUUAUUCCGUUUUCAAGAGAAUCGAAAUUCACUUGGAGCGAUUCUUUUGGUGGCAAAAUCAUCUUCUUCCGCUGCAACAUAUCAAGGUAAACACUGAUUUUGCUCUGUUUUUUCUUUCAGCGGCAUCAGAGACUACGUUGAAUUGCCCUGUCUUAAUGUUAUUUCUUGAGUUCAGUGUGCAAAAAUUCUUGAAAAGAUCGUAAAUUAACAGUACCUAUAAAAUUUUUGGUCUCCGGUUAAACGCGCCGCUAGUUCGGUCAGACGCUGAUUAUCCGGUCAAAAGCGUCACAACUCCGGUAAGACGUGUCGUUGAUCCGGUCAUAAGCGCUGCCAAUCUCGUAAGACGUGCCGUUGCAUUAUUUUAUAAGAAUCCCCAAAAGAGUUGGUCGUUUUGUUGGGCACGGGCGGUGCUGAGGCAGGCUACGCCGGAGAAAUGGGGACGGCAGCUAUUGAUCGCCAAUUAUGGUAUUUUCAGACCGUUUUUGGCGAUGAUUUCGCCGGUGAUGGGUGGAGUCGGUGGAGGAAAGUGGAUUUCGGAUUUGGAAUGGCUGAAUUCGGUGAGGGACAAAUGAUUACGGUGAAAAAUUUGCCUGAAAACUUAAAAUCUAUUUGCGUGAAAAUGGGCCCUUAUUAUUUUUUGGUCUUUGUCACAUAUGACUGUGCAAUUUGCAAUAUGUCUUUUCUUGAUGAAGAUGAAGAUUGUUUCUUAACCUUUUUCUUUUGGGUGAAGUAUAUUGUUUCUUAACCUUUUUCUUUUGGGUGAAGUAUACGAUAAUUGACUAUUCUAGAUAAUAGUGUCUAGAAAAUAGUGCAAUUAAUAUUAGCACUAUAUUUUAUAUUUUCACUAAUAGUUCCACUACUGUUCAUAUUAUUUAUAUAAGAAUAGAUGUUAAGAAGCAUUAAAUGAACUAGUUAUAUUUUUAGUGGAAAUGGAUAAUAAUAUUUUUAUGGCUUAAGUCAUCAAUAGGCAUUCUAAGUUGUACCGAAAAUUUACUUAAACCCCUCAACUAAGGCCUAUACCUAUCAGACCCCUAACUCACUUGAAUUUUGAUCCAAUUAGGUCUUUUUUGCCUACAUGGCACACCGCGUAUAAUGUAAUUGCGGGAGAUGCGUGAGCAAUGAUUCUUUUCACUAAAUCACAAAUAGAAAGGUGACAAGUGGCACUGAGGGCCCCAAAAAAAUUUUAAUAAAUAAAAUUUAAAAAAAAACACUAACGGCCCCUAAAAAAAUUUAAUAAAAUAAUUCUUUUUAAAAUAAAGCCUCCAACAUAUCCCCCUCCCCCAUCUGAUACCCCUCUUCAUCUUCUUCUCCAUUCUUCUUCCUCAUUCUUUUUUUUUCUUAAAACUUAUUUCUCCUCCCAUUUUUUCUACUUUUUCUCCUUUCUUGUUCUUACUUUUGAAUUAAUGUUUGUAUUCGAUUAAGUUUGAUCUUAUUCUUAAUUCUUUCCCGCCAUUGGUUUUCCAAAAAAAAUAAAAGUUUACCAAAAAAUAAAAGUUUGCCUGAUUAAUUCAUUGCAUUUAAACACUCAAUAGUAUAAGAAAGAUACCAUUUUUCUUGUCCAAAUCUUGAAAUCUCGAGGUUAAGAUUUCUUGUCCAAAUCUUGAAAUCUCAAUGGUAUUUGGCAAUGGAGAAGAAGAUGGUGUAUCACUAUUUGGAAUGGUUUUAAGAAUUAGUUGUUUAUGUUUUUUGUUUAAGUAAAAUGAGAAGUAAAAAAAAAACUGAAAUUUGCAAUGGAUUUCUUAAUUUUUUAUUUAUCCUGAUUUUGUUAUUCUUCACUUUAUCAUUAAGAAUAUUAGAAGGAAAUCAGUUUUAAUUUUUUUUUUAAAAAGUUCAACUUCUCGUAGAAAAUGGAGGGUGGGAGAGGGGGAGGAACCAGUUAUUUUUAUUUUUUUAAAAAAAUUAUAAUAUAUUUAAAAUAAUUUUUGGACCCACACAACAUGUGUCAUUAUUUAAUUGGAUUUUUAACUAAUAGGCUUUUUAAAACAAAUUCAUUUGCCAUGUGUCGUUUUCUUAUUGGUCCAUUUUGCCACAUCAGCUGAGUGUGUUACACACACUCUAUACCUUUUGUUGAUUGUAUAAAAAAGGCCUGAUUGGAUAAAAAUUCGAGUGGGUUAGGGGUCUGAUAGGUACAGACCUUAGUUGAGGGGUUUAAGUAAAAUUUUGGGACAACUUUAAGUGUAUAUCAAUGACUUAAGCCUAUUUUUAUUCAUGUCAUCUUUGGUAAUUAUUCAUUAAAGUGGAUUAAAUAAGUGUAUGAAUUAGACUUGAUGUUAUUUUUGCCUUAAUUAGUCCAUAAUUUUAUUUUAACAGAUUUUAUCUUUUACGAUAAAUUGUGACAUAAGUUAUCACAUUGAGUGGUUAAACCAUUCUAAUUGUUUCUUGGUUCCUAUUUCAGAAAUGAGUUAACAGGGACAAACUUAAAUCAUUCCAACUGGGAGUUAUGGAUGUCGAGCAAAGAGAUAAAGUGGAAGGACACAUCGUCGAAGGGAAUGUUUUCGAGGUCGUGAGAUCAUAUGAAAUGGUGUCCCCAGAGCGAGACAAAAUCUAUUAUGAACUAUGAGAAGAUAAAGAGAGAAGAAAUUGAAAGAAUUCAAGUCUUUUAAGAUGACCCCUAACAUUACAGUUGCUAGUUUUAUUCAUUUGUUUGAAUUAAAACGUGAAGAACUAGAAACUAUGUAGAAAUCUUAGAUUGGGAAGCAUUAGCUAUUUUACUAAAUUUUCUCCGUGACCCUUGGGACGAGAGAUUAAUUGAUAUUUAUCACG
rnacentral:lncRNA from 1 species